rnacentral:rRNA from 1 species
AGAGUUUGAUCAUGGCUCAGGACGAACGCUGGCGGCGUGCCUAAUACAUGCAAGUAGAACGCUGAAGAGAGGAGCUUGCUCUUCUUGGAUGAGUUGCGAACGGGUGAGUAACGCGUAGGUAACCUGCCUUGUAGCGGGGGAUAACUAUUGGAAACGAUAGCUAAUACCGCAUAACAAUGGAUGACCCAUGUCAUUUAUUUGAAAGGGGCAAAUGCUCCACUACAAGAUGGACCUGCGUUGUAUUAGCUAGUAGGUGAGGUAACGGCUCACCUAGGCGACGAUACAUAGCCGACCUGAGAGGGUGAUCGGCCACACUGGGACUGAGACGCGGCCCAGACUCCUACGGGAGGCAGCAGUAGGGAAUCUUCGGCAAUGGGGGCAACCCUGACCGAGCAACGCCGCGUGAGUGAAGAAGGUUUUCGGAUCGUAAAGCUCUGUUGUAAGUCAAGAACGAGUGUGAGAGUGGAAAGUUCACACUGUGACGGUAGCUUACCAGAAAGGGACGGCUAACUACGUGCCAGCAGCCGCGGUAAUACGUAGGUCCCGAGCGUUGUCCGGAUUUAUUGGGCGUAAAGCGAGCGCAGGCGGUUUGAUAAGUCUGAAGUUAAAGGCUGUGGCUCAACCAUAGUUCGCUUUGGAAACUGUCAAACUUGAGUGCAGAAGGGGAGAGUGGAAUUCCAUGUGUAGCGGUGAAAUGCGUAGAUAUAUGGAGGAACACCGGUGGCGAAAGCGGCUCUCUGGUCUGUAACUGACGCUGAGGCUCGAAAGCGUGGGGAGCGAACAGGAUUAGAUACCCUGGUAGUCCACGCCGUAAACGAUGAGUGCUAGGUGUUGAAUCCUUUCCGGGAUUCAGUGCCGCAGCUAACGCAUUAAGCACUCCGCCUGGGGAGUACGACCGCAAGGUUGAAACUCAAAGGAAUUGACGGGGGCCCGCACAAGCGGUGGAGCAUGUGGUUUAAUUCGAAGCAACGCGAAGAACCUUACCAGGUCUUGACAUCCCGAUGCUAUUUCUAGAGAUAGAAAGUUACUUCGGUACAUCGGUGACAGGUGGUGCAUGGUUGUCGUCAGCUCGUGUCGUGAGAUGUUGGGUUAAGUCCCGCAACGAGCGCAACCCCUAUUGUUAGUUGCCAUCAUUCAGUUGGGCACUCUAGCGAGACUGCCGGUAAUAAACCGGAGGAAGGUGGGAUGGCGUCAAAUCAUCAUGCCCCUUAUGACCUGGGCUACACACGUGCUACAAUGGUUGGUACAACGAGUUGCGAGUCGGUGACGGCAAGCUAAUCUCUUAAAGCCAAUCUCAGUUCGGAUUGUAGGCUGCAACUCGCCUACAUGAAGUCGGAAUCGCUAGUAAUCGCGGAUCAGCACGCCGCGGUGAAUACGUUCCCGGGCCUUGUACACACCGCCCGUCACACCACGAGAGUUUGUAACACCCGAAGUCGGUGGGGUAACCUUUUGGAGCCAGCCGCCUAAGGUGGGAUAGAUGAUUGGGGUGAAGUCGUAACAAGGUA